rnacentral:tRNA from 1 species
GGAGGGGUGUCCGAGUGGCUUAAGGAGCCGGUCUUGAAAACCGGUGACUCUGCAAGGAGCCGUGGGUUCAAAUCCCACCCCCUCCGCCA